rnacentral:rRNA from 1 species
GAGUCUUAACCGGGCGUUAAGUUGCAGGGUAUAGACCCGAAACCCGGUGAUCUAGCCAUGGGCAGGUUGAAGGUUGGGUAACACUAACUGGAGGACCGAACCGACUAAUGUUGAAAAAUUAGCGGAUGACCUGUGGCUGGGGGUGAAAGGCCAAUCAAACCGGGAGAUAGCUGGUUCUCCCCGAAAGCUAUUUAGGUAGCGCCUCGUGAAUUCAUCUCCGGGGGUAGAGCACUGUUUCGGCUAGGGGGCCAUCCCGGCUUACCAACCCGAUGCAAACUGCGAAUACCGGAGAAUGUUAUCACGGGAGACACACGGCGGGUGCUAACGUCCGUCGUGAAGAGGGAAACAACCCAGACCGCCAGCUAAGGUCCCAAAGUCAUGGUUAAGUGGGAAACGAUGUGGGAAGGCCCAGACAGCCAGGAUGUUGGCUUAGAAGCAGCCAUCAUUUAAAGAAAGCGUAAUAGCUCACUGGUCGAGUCGGCCUGCGCGGAAGAUGUAACGGGGCUAAACCAUGCACCGAAGCUGCGGCAGCGACGCUGAUGCGUUGUUGGGUAGGGGAGCGUUCUGUAAGCCUGCGAAGGUGGCCUGUGAGGGUUGCUGGAGGUAUCAGAAGUGCGAAUGCUGACAUAAGUAACGAUAAAGCGGGUGAAAAGCCCGCUCGCCGGAAGACCAAGGGUUCCUGUCCAACGUUAAUCGGGGCAGGGUGAGUCGACCCCUAAGGCGAGGCCGAAAGGCGUAGUCGAUGGGAAACGGGUUAAUAUUCCCGUACUUGGUGUUACUGCGAAGGGGGGACGGAGAAGGCUAUGUUGGCCGGGCGACGGUUGUCCCGGUUUAAGCGUGUAGGUGUGUGUUCCAGGUAAAUCCGGUUCACUUUAACACUGAGGCGUGAUGACGAGGCACUACGGUGCUGAAGCAACAAAUGCCCUGCUUCCAGGAAAAGCCUCUAAGCAUCAGGUAACAUCAAAUCGUACCCCAAACCGACACAGGUGGUCAGGUAGAGAAUACCAAGGCGCUUGAGAGAACUCGGGUGAAGGAACUAGGCAAAAUGGUGCCGUAACUUCGGGAGAAGGCACGCUGACACGUAGGUGAAGUGAUUUACUCAUGGAGCUGAAGUCAGUCGAAGAUACCAGCUGGCUGCAACUGUUUAUUAAAAACACAGCACUGUGCAAACACGAAAGUGGACGUAUACGGUGUGACGCCUGCCCGGUGCCGGAAGGUUAAUUGAUGGGGUCAGCGCAAGCGAAGCUCCUGAUCGAAGCCCCGGUAAACGGCGGCCGUAACUAUAACGGUCCUAAGGUAGCGAAAUUCCUUGUCGGGUAAGUUCCGACCUGCACGAAUGGCGUAAUGAUGGCCAGGCUGUCUCCACCCGAGACUCAGUGAAAUUGAACUCGCUGUGAAGAUGCAGUGUACCCGCGGCAAGACGGAAAGACCCCGUGAACCUUUACUAUAGCUUGACACUGAACAUUGAGCCUUGAUGUGUAGGAUAGGUGGGAGGCUUUGAAGUGUGGACGCCAGUCUGCAUGGAGCCGACCUUGAAAUACCACCCUUUAAUGUUUGAUGUUCUAACGUGGACCCGUGAUCCGGGUUGCGGACAGUGUCUGGUGGGUAGUUUGACUGGGGCGGUCUCCUCCUAAAGAGUAACGGAGGAGCACGAAGGUUGGCUAAUCCUGGUCGGACAUCAGGAGGUUAGUGCAAUGGCAUAAGCCAGCUUGACUGCGAGCGUGACGGCGCGAGCAGGUGCGAAAGCAGGUCAUAGUGAUCCGGUGGUUCUGAAUGGAAGGGCCAUCGCUCAACGGAUAAAAGGUACUCCGGGGAUAACAGGCUGAUACCGCCCAAGAGUUCAUAUCGACGGCGGUGUUUGGCACCUCGAUGUCGGCUCAUCACAUCCUGGGGCUGAAGUAGGUCCCAAGGGUAUGGCUGUUCGCCAUUUAAAGUGGUACGCGAGCUGGGUUUAGAACGUCGUGAGACAGUUCGGUCCCUAUCUGCCGUGGGCGCUGGAGAACUGAGGGGGGCUGCUCCUAGUACGAGAGGACCGGAGUGGACGCAUCACUGGUGUUCGGGUUGUCAUGCCAAUGGCACUGCCCGGUAGCUAAAUGCGGAAGAGAUAAGUGCUGAAAGCAUCUAAGCACGAAACUUGCCCCGA